AGUGAACGCUGGCGGUAGGCCUAACACAUGCAAGUCGAACGGCAGCACAGUAAGAGCUUGCUCUUACGGGUGGCGAGUGGCGGACGGGUGAGGAAUACAUCGGAAUCUACUUUUUCGUGGGGGAUAACGUAGGGAAACUUACGCUAAUACCGCAUACGACCUACGGGUGAAAGCAGGGGAUCUUCGGACCUUGCGCGAUUGAAUGAGCCGAUGUCGGAUUAGCUAGUUGGCGGGGUAAAGGCCCACCAAGGCGACGAUGCGUAGCUGGUCUGAGAGGAUGAUCAGCCACACGGGAAGUGAGACACGGUCCAGACUCCUACGGGAGGCAGCAGUGGGGAAUAUUGGACAAUGGGCGCAAGCCUGAUCCAGCCAUACCGCGUGGGUGAAGAAGGCCUUCGGGUUGGAAAGCCCUUUUGUUGGGAAAGAAAAGCAGCAGGUUAAUACCCCGCUGUUCUGACGGUACCCAAAGAAUAAGCACCGGCUAACUUCGUG
rnacentral:rRNA from 1 species